rnacentral:rRNA from 1 species
UACAGAGGGUGCGAGCGUUAAUCGGAAUUACUGGGCGUAAAGCGUGCGUAGACGGUUUCGUAAGUCGGGUGUGAAAUCCCCGGGCUCAACCUGGGAAUUGCAUUCGAAACUGCGAGGCUAGGGUACGGAAGAGGGAAGCGGAAUUUCUGGUGUAGCGGUGAAAUGCGUAGAUAUCAGGAGGAACACCGGUGGUGUAGACGGCUUACUGGACCACGACUGACGCUGAGGCACGAAAGCGUGGGUAGCAAACAGG